AGAGUUUGAUCCUGGCUCAGAACGAACGCUGGCGGCAGGCUUAACACAUGCAAGUCGAACGCCCCGCAAGGGGAGUGGCAGACGGGUGAGUAACGCGUGGGAAUCUACCGAGCCCUACGGAAUAACGCAUGGAAACGUGUGCUAAUACCGUAUACGCCCUUAGGGGGAAAGAUUUAUCGGGGUUUGAUGAGCCCGCGUUGGAUUAGCUAGUUGGUGGGGUAAAGGCCUACCAAGGCGACGAUCCAUAGCUGGUCUGAGAGGAUGAUCAGCCACAUUGGGACUGAGACACGGCCCAAACUCCUACGGGAGGCAGCAGUGGGGAAUAUUGGACAAUGGGCGCAAGCCUGAUCCAGCCAUGCCGCGUGAGUGAUGAAGGUCUUAGGAUUGUAAAGCUCUUUCACCGGAGAAGAUAAUGACGGUAUCCGGAGAAGAAGCCCCGGCUAACUUCGUGCCAGCAGCCGCGGUAAUACGAAGGGGGCUAGCGUUGUUCGGAAUUACUGGGCGUAAAGGGAGCGUAGGCGGACAUUUAAGUCAGGGGUGAAAUCCCGGGGCUCAACCUCGGAAUUGCCUUUGAUACUGGGUGUCUUGAGUGUGAGAGAGGUAUGUGGGACUCCGAGUGUAGAGGUGAAAUUCGUAGAUAUUCGGAAGAACACCAGUGGCGAAGGCGACAUACUGGCUCAUUACUGACGCUGAGGCUCGAAAGCGUGGGGAGCAAACAGGAUUAGAUACCCUGGUAGUCC
rnacentral:rRNA from 1 species